rnacentral:lncRNA from 1 species
CAGGACGUGUACUAGGUCAUGCCAAACUUGUCAGGUAUAUUGACUUAUGCAACACGGCCAAGUCACACACCCAUGUGUGAAACCGUGUGAAGCAUACUGACUUUAUUUUAAUUUCAACACCAGGAGACACAAGGCUAUGCAACAUGACCUUGUGUCGCAUAUGGUUGAGACAUACACCCACGUCUCUGCCCGUGUGGACAAAAAUAGACCAUUUACC